rnacentral:lncRNA from 1 species
GCAAAAGUGGCUAAAGAAGUGAUUGAAGCGAUCGAUGAGGAGAAAAAGUCAGUGUGCUUCAAGGUGAUUGGGGGUGAUAUACUGGAGGCUUACAAGACAUUCUUGAUCACAGUUCAUGUGGACACCAAUGGAGAAGAGAACAUUGUGACUUGGACUUUCCAUUACGAGAAGGUCAAUGAGAAUAUUGAUGACCCCCACACUUUGAUGGAUUUCUGCCUCACCGUCACCAAGGAUAUUGAGAACCAUCACCUCCCAAAAGCAAACUGAAUCUAAAAUGCGUGUUUGUUUGUGUUAAUUACAUAUGUGGAGUGGAAUUAUGUUUGUAUGAUUUUUUUUUUG